GAUGAACGCUGGCGGCGUGCUUAACACAUGCAAGUCGAACGAAGCACUUUAUUCGAUUUUCUUCGGAGAUGAAGAUUUAGUGACUGAGUGGCGGACGGGUGAGUAACGCGUGGAUAACCUGCCUCACACUGGGGGAUAACAGUUAGAAAUGAUUGCUAAUACCGCAUAAGCGCACAGUACCGCAUGGUACGGUGUGAAAAACUCCGGUGGUGUGAGAUGGAUCCGCGUUUGAUUAGCCAGUUGGCGGGGUAACGGCCCACCAAAGCGACGACCAAUAGCCGACCUGAGAGGGUGACCGGCCACAUUGGGACUGAGACACGGCCCAAACUCCGACGGGAGGCAGCAGUGGGGAAUAUUGCGCAAUGGGGGAAACCCUGACGCAGCGACGCCGCGUGAGCGAUGAAGUAUUUCGGUAUGUAAAGCUCUAUCAGCAGGGAAGAAUAAAUGACGGUACCUGACUAAGAAGCCCCGGCUAACUACGUGCCAGCCGCCGCCGUAA
rnacentral:rRNA from 1 species